GCCUGGGUGGUUCAGUCAGUUGAGCAUCUGGCUUCCACUCAGGUCACGAUCUCACAGUUCGUGGGUUCAAGCCCUGCAUCAGGCU
rnacentral:tRNA from 1 species